GACGAACGCUGGCGGCGUGCUUAACACAUGCAAGUCGAGCGGUAAGGCCCUUUCGGGGGUACACGAGCGGCGAACGGGUGAGUAACACGUGGGUGACCUGCCCUUAGCUCUGGGAUAAGCCUGGGAAACUGGGUCUAAUACCGGAUAUGACUCCAUGACGCAUGUUGUGGGGUGGAAAGCCUUGUGCGGCUAGGGAUGGGGCCCGNGGGCCCUAUCAGCUUGGUUGGUGGGGUGAGUGGCCACGAAGGCGACGACGGUAGCCGGCCUGAGAGGGCGACCGGCCACACUGGGACUGAGACACGGCCCAG
rnacentral:rRNA from 1 species